rnacentral:rRNA from 1 species
UACGUAGGGGGCUAGCGUUGUCCGGAAUCAUUGGGCGUAAAGCGCGUGUAGGCGGUCCGGUAAGUCCGCUGUGAAAGUCGGGGGCUCAACCCUCGAAUGCCGGUGGAUACUGUCAGACUAGAGUACGGAAGAGGCGAGUGGAAUUCCUGGUGUAGCGGUGAAAUGCGCAGAUAUCAGGAGGAACACCGAUGGCGAAGGCAGGUCUCUGGGCCGAUACUGACGCUGAGGAGCGAAAGCGUGGGGAGCGAACAGG